rnacentral:rRNA from 1 species
CGCUGGCGGCAUGCCUAAUACAUGCAAAUCGAACGAAGCCUUUUAGGCUUAGUGGUGAACGGGUGAGUAACACGUAUCCAACCUACCCUUAAGUUGGGGAUAACUAGUCGAAAGAUUAGCUAAUACCGAAUAAUAACAUCAAUAUCGCAUGAGAAGAUGUAGAAAGUCGCGUUUGCGACGCUUUUGGAUGGGGGUGCGACGUAUCAGAUAGUUGGUGAGGUAAUGGCUCACCAAGUCAAUGACGCGUAGCUGUACUGAGAGGUAGAACAGCCACAAUGGGACUGAGACACGGCCCAUACUCCUACGGGAGGCAGCAGUAGGGAAUUUUUCACAAUGGGCGAAAGCCUUAUGAAGCAAUGCCGCGUGAACGAUGAAGGUCUUAUAGAUUGUAAAGUUCUUUUAUAUGGGAAGAAACGCUAAGAUAGGAAAUGAUUUUAGUUUGACUGUACCAUUUGAAUAAGUAUCGGCUAACUAUGUGCCAGCAGCCGCGGUAAUACAUAGGAUGCAAGCGUUAUCCGGAUUUACUGGGCGUAAAACGAGCGCAGGCGGGUUUGUAAGUUUGGUAUUAAAUCUAGAUGCUUAACGUCUAGCUGUAUCAAAAACUGUAAACCUAGAGUGUAGUAGGGAGUUGGGGAACUCCAUGUGGAGCGGUAAAAUGCGUAGAUAUAUGGAAGAACACCGGUGGCGAAGGCGCCAACUUGGACUAU